rnacentral:rRNA from 1 species
GAUGAACGCUGGCGGCGUGCCUAAUACAUGCAAGUCGAGCGAACGGACGAGAAGCUUGCUUCUCUGAUGUUAGCGGCGGACGGGUGAGUAACACGUGGAUAACCUACCUAUAAGACUGGGAUAACUUCGGGAAACCGGAGCUAAUACCGGAUAAUAUUUUGAACCGCAUGGUUCAAAAGUGAAAGACGGUCUUGCUGUCACUUAUAGAUGGAUCCGCGCUGCAUUAGCUAGUUGGUAAGGUAACGGCUUACCAAGGCAACGAUGCAUAGCCGACCUGAGAGGGUGAUCGGCCACACUGGAACUGAGACACGGUCCAGACUCCUACGGGAGGCAGCAGUAGGGAAUCUUCCGCAAUGGGCGAAAGCCUGACGGAGCAACGCCGCGUGAGUGAUGAAGGUCUUCGGAUCGGAAAACUCUGUUAUUAGGGAAGAACAUAUGUGUAAGUAACUGUGCACAUCUUGACGGUACCUAAUCAGAAAGCCACGGCUAACUACGUG